GNCCGGGGCGUGCGGGGCGAGCCGUGCGGGCGGGACGGGGGCUUGGGAGGCUGGCCGGGGAGACGCACGACCCGGGGCCGUAGGCGGGGAGGUCUUUCCCGCAGAGUGGCCGCCAGACGACGGAAAGUUUUUUUUGCAUGCAGCCCUUCCAGCGUGUCCUUCCCUCGCCGGCUCCCUGUCGUCCACGGUGAGGCGCCCCCCGCCGAGACCCCCGGCGGCCCAGUGGGGAGGAGCCGGGCAGGGUUUUCCCUCUACGAGCAUCCCAAGCCAGGAGGGACCCUGGUGAUGACCUCUCCUCCCAGCCACCGUUCCCUUCUCCCUUUCUUUCCUGUCACGGUGGACCUUGGGACCGUGGAGGAUUCCGCGGAUGCCUUUGGGAGCUGAGACCCAUGGGUAGAUGGAAGUGGUUCUAAAAUGCAGGCCCCAAAGGCCCUACUCCUGACACCAUCACCUUCAGGAGUAGGAUUUCAACCAUAUGAAUUUGCGGUGGGACACAAUCAUUCAGACCACAGCACUCUAUCUCUUGAGAGCUGUGAUAACACAAGGGAGUCAUGUCAACCUUGUCUCAUGCACCAGCUGAACUCGGUGACACUAGCAACUUGGAUCCCGACAGGCGGGGUGUUAUGACUGUACCAUCAGGGCCGGACUGCACUGCUCUGAAGGUGCUUCGUGUGCAGUGUGGGGCAGCUUGACCUGAGCAAAAGCAGCAAACGCUCCUCGAGGUGGAACCCCAGCCAGAGUCAGUAACACCGUGGUUCUCAAACUUCAGCCUGUGUCUGAGUCACCUGCAGAACGUGUUAAAACAUGGAGUCUUAUAACCACUUCCCCCAGAGACUCUGAUUCAGUCAGUCUAGGGCAGGGAUGGUGAUUUUGCAUUUCUAGCAAGUUCCUAAGUGCUGCUGGUUGGGAGAUCACACUUUGAAAAUUACAAGCCUGCUCCAGACCCUUGACUUAGAAAGCUCUUCCUCUCUAGGUCUUCUGUGCCCUAAAGGACUUCAGAGCUGCGGAGAAAAGUGAAUGGAAGCCAAGAGAUGGAAACAACUACAACAUGCAUCAACAGGUGAAUGGAUAAGCAGAAGGCGCAUAGCCAUACAAUGGAAUACUAUUCCGCCAGGAAAAGGAACGAGAUACUGACACACGCUACAACAUGGAUGAACCUCGAAGGCAUUAUGCAGAGUGGAAGCAGCCAGCUGCUGGGGUCAUGCAGUCCAUGAUUGCAUAGAUAGGAGAUGCCCAGGAGAAGCACAUUCAUAGAGACAGAAAGCAAAUUGGUGGUUACCAGGAAGUAGGAGGGAAUGGGGAGCUGCUGCCGAUUAGGUUUCCAUUUGGGAUGAUGCAAAGGAACACAAGCAGGGGGAGAGGGAGAGGGAGAAGCAGGCUUCCCGCUGAGCAAGGAGCCCGAUGCGGGACUCGAUCCCAGGACCCUGGGAUCAUGACCAGAGCCGAAGGCAGAUGCUUAA